UCCUCUCGUCUCUCACGCACGCGUAGGCAGUCACGCACCUUCCCCAAUUCCCAAUUUCCUCUUCGUCUCAGCAUGUAGCCACGCCGCCGACACUGACCGCCGUGGACAGGGAGGGAGCACCGUCCACCAGAGCGCUGCCCGCCGUCUCGCCCCGCCCCUGCCCUAUUCCCUCCCGCCGCUCAUCGUCCACCGACCAAUGCCGUGCGUGCUGCCGGCCAUCUAAUCUUGCGGCUGGCUGUUCUCCUCCAACUCAAUGGCUGGCGCAUGACCUGAGCGAGAUCCCCUUCCAUGUUCUGUGUUGGCGAACACAUGAAUUAGCCCCCUGCCGCAUCACACUUCACACACGGGCACACAGCCCCAGGUAGCUAGCAGGUAGUCAUGGGCAAGGAAAAUCAGACUUAGAGAAGAAUCGAUUUGGCUUUUAGAAGGAAAAGAGAUGACAUAAGUGAAGUUGAGGAAGACCAUGUAUUGCCCUUAAGGUGAACCAGGGCAUCACCGCCGCUUCCAGUAUAGUUGGUUUGGUGAUUUUCCAUCAUGUCUAGAGUAUUUAGAGGACAAAAAUUGUGUGUAUUGUCUAAUAUUGUUUCGUCUCCAGUAACAAAAGAAUACGUGAGGUGGUUCUCAUGUCUUCACAAUAUAUGGAUUUGACAGUUGGAAGAGGGUUCAUCGAAAACAUUGUGCAUUCUUGACCCACAUAGGAUCUGGACCAUGCUCACCACACAACAAUGCAGUCACUGGUGGUCAUGCCUUACUGAAACAACCAUGCCACACGGAGAAUAUUGUAGUUGUGAAGGGCAAGGAGAAAGUGCCAAGAAACCGUUUGCGGCUGAAAGUGUAAAUUGCGGUUGUUAAGUGGCUUACAUUCCAAGCUUUCUUGAAAUGGUGAAGCUUCUUGCAGAUAACUUAAUAGUGCUUGAUGGUUGAACUGUACUUUAUUA